UACGGAGGGUGCAAGCGUUACUCGGAAUCACUGGGCGUAAAGCGCAUGCAGGCGGUCUAAUAAGUUGGAAGUGAAAGCCUAUGGCUCAACCAUAGAACUGCUUCCAAAACUGUUAGACUAGAGUCUGGGAGGGGAAGAUGGAAUUAGUAGUGUAGGGGUAAAAUCCGUAGAGAUUACUAGGAAUACCAAAAGCGAAGGCGAUCUUCUGGAACAGUACUGACGCUGAGAUGCGAAAGCGUGGGGAGCAAACAGGAUUAGAUACCCUGGUAGUCCACGCAGUAAACGAUGAAUGUUAGUCGUUGGUAUCCUAGAGAUAUCAGUGAUGCAGUUAACACAUUAAACAUUCCGCCUGGGGAGUACGGUCGCAAGAUUAAAACUCAAAGGAAUAGACGGGGACCCGCACAAGUGGUGGAGCAUGUGGUUUAAUUCGAAGAUACGCGAAGAACCUUACCUAGCCUUGACAUAUUUUAGAACUCAGUAGAGAUACAGAGGUGCCUUCGGGAGCUAAUUUACAGGUGCUGCACGGCUGUCGUCAGCUCGUGUCGUGAGAUGUUGGGUUAAGUCCCGCAACGAGCGCAACCCUCGUCACUAGUUACUAACGGUUCGGCCGAGGACUCUAGUGAGACUGCCUUCGUAAGGAGGAGGAAGGUGAGGACGACGUCAAGUCAUCAUGGCCCUUACGGCUAGGGCAACACACGUGCUACAAUGGUUAGGACAAUGAGAAGCAAUAUCGCGAGGUGGAGCAAAUCUAUAAACCUAAUCUCAGUUCGGAUUGUAGUCUGCAACUCGACUACAUGAAGCUGGAAUCACUAGUAAUCGUAGAUCAGCUAUGCUACGGUGAAUACGUUCCCGGGUC
rnacentral:rRNA from 1 species